UACGAGGGGGGCUAGCGUUGCUCGGAAUCACUGGGCGUAAAGGGUGCGUAGGCGGGUCUUUAAGUCAGGGGUGAAAUCCUGGAGCUCAACUCCAGAACUGCCUUUGAUACUGAAGAUCUUGAGUUCGGGAGAGGUGAGUGGAACUGCGAGUGUAGAGGUGAAAUUCGUAGAUAUUCGCAAGAACACCAGUGGCGAAGGCGGCUCACUGGCCCGAUACUGACGCUGAGGUGCGAAAGCGUGGGGAGCAAACAGG
rnacentral:rRNA from 1 species